ACUAAAAUUGUUGCGGUUAAAAAGCUCGUAGUUGCAUUUGUGCGUCGCGCUGUCGGUGCGCCGCAUAACGUGGCGAUACUGACACGCUGCGGAGCAUAUCGUCGGUGAGCGGGGUCUCGGGCGUUCGCGUUCGGGUCUCUGCUCAAUAUCAAAAAUCCUAUCGCGGUGCUCUUCGGUGAGUGUCACGGUGGGCCGGCAAUUUUACUUUGAACAAAUUAGAGUGCUCAAAGCGGGCUCAAAAUGCUGCUUGAAUAUUGUGUGCAUGGAAUAAUAGAAUAAGACCUCGGUUCUAUUUUGUUGGUUUUCAGAACUCCGAGGUAAUGAUUAAUAGGGAUAACUGGGGGCAUUCGUAUUGCGACGUUAGAGGUGAAAUUCUUGGAUCGUCGCAAGACGAACAUCAGCGAAAGCAUUUGCCAAAGGUGUUUUCAUCAAUCAAGAACGAAAGUUAGAGGUUCGAAGGCGAUUAGAUACCGCCCUAGUUCUAACCGUAAAUAUGUCAUCUAGCGAUCCGCCGAUGUUACUACAAUGGCUCGGCGGGAAGCUUCCGGGAAACCAAAGAUUUUGGACUCCGGGGGGAGUAUGGUUGCAAAGCUGAAACUUAAAGGAAUUGACGGAAGGGCACCACCAGGAGUGGAGCCUGCGGCUUAAUUUGACCCAACACGGGAAAUCUCACCAGGCCCGGACACCGGAAGGAUUGACAGAUUAACAGCUCUUUCUUGAUUCGGUGGGUGGUGGUGCAUGGCCGUUCUUAGUUGGUGGAGCGAUUUGUCUGGUUAAUUCCGGUAACGAACGAGACUCUAGCCUGCUAAAUAGGCGCCGUACAUUUAGGUGCGCGCGGCCCUCGCGGUCGCGCAACUCACUGUUGGCGUAUUAAAAUUCUUCUUAGAGGGACCGGCGGCUUCGAGCCGCACGAGAUUGAGCAAUAACAGGUCUGUGAUGCCCUUAGAUGUCCUGGGCCGCACGCGCGCUACACUGAAGGAAUCAGCAUGUUCUCCCUGGCCUAGAGGCCCGGGCAACCCGCUGAAACUCCUUCGUGCUGGGGAUUGGGGUUUGCAAUUAUCCCCCAUAAACGAGGAAUUCCUAGUAAGCGCGAGUCAUAAGCUUGCGUUGAUUACGUCCCUGCCCUUUGUACACACCGCCCGUCGCUACUACCGAUUGAAUGAUUUAGUGAGGUCUUCGGACCGACACGCGGUGGCUUCGC
rnacentral:rRNA from 1 species